ACCAGACUCCUACGGGAGGCAGCAGUGGGGAAUAUUGGACAAUGGGGGGAACCCUGAUCCAGCGACGCCGCGUGAGUGAAGAAGUAUUUCGGUAUGUAAAGCUCUAUCAGCAGGGAAGAAAGAAAUGACGGUACCUGACUAAGAAGCCCCAGCUAACUACGUGCCAGCAGCCGCGGUAAUACGUAGGGGGCAAGCGUUAUCCGGAUUUACUGGGUGUAAAGGGAGCGUAGACGGCUAUGCAAGUCUGGAGGGGAAGGCGGGGGCCCAACCCCCGGACUGCUCUGGAAACUGUAGAGCUAGAGUGCAGGAGAGGUAAGUGGAAUUCCUAGUGUAGCGGUGAAAUGCGUAGAUAUUAGGAGGAACACCAGUGGCGAAGGCGGCUUACUGGACUGUAACUGACGUUGAGGCUCGAAAGCGUGGGGAGCAAACAGGAUUAGAUACCCCAGUAC
rnacentral:rRNA from 1 species